AAUGAGAGAAGUCAAGAGAAAACUGAAAUAGACCAAGAGGAAAAGAAUGUCGCAGAAAUCUCUGUAGUGAAGCCUUUGUGGCUGUGGUGUCCGCUGUAAAGAAGGUUCUGGAGAUUUCUACAACUGUGAAGGUUCCAAGAACACUUUCGUACCCGAGUGAGAUGCUGAGACGCUCGAGAGUAAUUUAGGAGAGGCAAGAGAAGAGAACGGGGAGGGAAGAGGAUCGCCGUUAACUCAAGUGAAACUAAAUAAGCAGCUGAUAAUCCAAGGAUGUUAUAGUAGUUUUCCUUUUUCUGGACGCCUCAACUUUUUUUUUUUUUUUUUUUUUUUUUUCGGCGGGA